AUGUGCUUGUUUCAGCCACACAUAUACUAAAAUUGGAACGAUACAAAGAUUAACAUAGACCCUGCACAAGGAUAACAUGCAAAUUCAUGAAGCAUUCCAUAUUUUG
rnacentral:snRNA from 1 species